AACGAACGCUGGCGGCGCGCCUAACACAUGCAAGUCGCACGAGAAGGCGGGGCAACCCGCUGGUACAGUGGCGAACGGGUGAGUAACGCGUGGGUAACCUACCCUCGAGGGGGGAAUAAC
rnacentral:rRNA from 1 species